CAUUCUAAGCUCCUUCCUUCCUCCAGGCCUUUGCUUCCUUUGGCCUUUGUGCACUGGGUUCAGUUUCAUAUUCCAAUUCAAGCAUGGACACAUUUAUUUAUUCCACAAAACACUGAUGGAGUGCCUGCUGGGUCCUUCCCUGGAUGCUGGAGAUGCAGGAGUAGAGCAGACCUGCUGGAACUGACAGGGGUGCAACUACAGUGUAAAUCAAACAAGAAUGUUCUUUGUUUUGUCUGGAGCUUUGCUGAGUGAUGUUCACCAUGUUAGAAACCAUGUCACUUGCAACAACACUGACAGCUUUGAUACCCAAUUUGAUUU